rnacentral:rRNA from 1 species
GGCGAACGCUGGCGGCGCGCCUAACACAUGCAAGUCGAACGAGCGAGAGAGAGCUUGCUUUCUUGAGCGAGUGGCGAACGGGUGAGUAACGCGUGAGGAACCUGCCUCAAAGAGGGGGACAACAGUUGGAAACGACUGCUAAUACCGCAUAAGCCCACGACCCGGCAUCGGGUUGAGGGAAAAGGAGCAAUCCGCUUUGAGAUGGCCUCGCGUCCGAUUAGCUAGUUGGUGAGGUAACGGCCCACCAAGGCGACGAUCGGUAGCCGGACUGAGAGGUUGAACGGCCACAUUGGGACUGAGACACGGCCCAGACUCCUACGGGAGGCAGCAGUGGGGAAUAUUGCACAAUGGGGGAAACCCUGAUGCAGCGACGCCGCGUGGAGGAAGAAGGUCUUCGGAUUGUAAACUCCUGUUGUUGAGGAAGAUAAUGACGGUACUCAACAAGGAAGUGACGGCUAACUACGUG